CCUACGGGAGGCAGCAGUGGGGAAUAUUGGACAAUGGGGGCAACCCUGAUCCAGCCAUGCCGCGUGUGUGAAGAAAGCCCUCGGGUUGUAAAGCACUUUCAGUGAGGAAGAACGCCUGGUGGUUAAUACCCAUCAGGAAAGACAUCACUCACAGAAGAAGCACCGGCUAACUCCGUGCCAGCAGCCGCGGUAAUACGGAGGGUGCGAGCGUUAAUCGGAAUUACUGGGCGUAAAGCGCGCGUAGGUGGCUUGAUAAGCCGGUUGUGAAAGCCCCGGGCUCAACCUGGGAACGGCAUCCGGAACUGUCAAGCUAGAGUGCAGGAGAGGAAGGUAGAAUUCCCGGUGUAGCGGUGAAAUGCGUAGAGAUCGGGAGGAAUACCAGUGGCGAAGGCGGCCUUCUGGACUGACACUGACACUGAGGUGCGAAAGCGUGGGUAGCAAACAGGAUUAGAUACCCGAGUAGUC
rnacentral:rRNA from 1 species